GACGAACGCUGGCGGCGUGCUUAACACAUGCAAGUCGAGCGGUAAGGCCCUUUCGGGGGUACACGAGCGGCGAACGGGUGAGUAACACGUGGGUGACCUGCCCUUAGCUCUGGGAUAAGCCUGGGAAACUGGGUCUAAUACCGGAUAUGACUCCAUGACGCAUGUUGUGGGGUGGAAAGCCUUGUGCGGCUAGGGAUGGGCCCGCGGCCUAUCAGCUUGUUGGUGGGGUGAUGGCCUACCAAGGCGACGACGGGUAGCCGGCCUGAGAGGGCGACCGGCCACACUGGGACUGAGACACGGCCCAGACUCCUACGGGAGGCAGCAGUGGGGAAUCUUGCGCAAUGAGCGAAAGCUUGACGCAGCGACGCCGCGUGAGGGAAGAA
rnacentral:rRNA from 1 species